AAAACUCUGAGACGUGAUACCGAGCCGCUUCAGGCGAAGUCAUUGAUCCUAUGCUGCCUAGAAAAGCCCAGCAGCGAGUUGACAUGGUGCCCGUACCCCAAACCAACACAGGUGGACAGGUAGAGCAUACCAAGGCGAGUGGGAUAACUAUGGUUAAGGAACUCGGCAAAUUGCCUCCGUAACUUCGGGAGAAGGAGGACCCCAGUAGCGUGAUGAGACUUGCUCUCUGAGCGUGAAGGGGUGGCACAAAAUUGAGGGAAGCGACUGUUUACCAAAAACACAGCAGCGUGCUAAGCCGUAAGGCGCUGUAUACGCUGUGACUCCUGCCCGGUGCUGGAAGGUUACGGGGAUGGGUUAGUCCUUCGGGACGAAGCUCUGAACCUAAGCCCCAGUAAACGGCGGCCGUAACUAUAACGGUCCUAAGGUAGCGAAAUUCCUUGUCGGGUAAGUUCCGACCUGCACGAAUGGAGUAACGACUUCCCUACUGUCUCAACCAUAGACCCAGCGAAAUUGAAGUACGAGUAAAGAUGCUCGUUAGCUGCAGAAGGACGGAAAGACCCCGUGGACCUUUACUAUAACUUGAUGUUGUGUUUUGUCAUAUGUUGUGUAGGAUAGGUGGGAGACUUGGAAGCAUGGACGCUAGUCUGUGUGGAGUCAUCGUUGAAAUACCACCCUGCAUAUGGUGAGGCUCUAACCUAGACCCGUUAUCCGGGUUGGGGACAGCGUCAGGCGGGUAGUUUAACUGGGGCGGUUGCCUCCUAAAGAGUAACGGAGGCGCCCAAAGGUUCCCUCAGCCUGGUUGGCAAUCAGGCGUUGAGUGCAAUGGCAAAAGGGAGCUUGACUGCGAGACCUACAAGUCGAGCCGGAGCGAAAGCUGGGCAUAGUGAUCCGGCGGUUGCGUGUGGAAGCGCCGUCGCUCAACGGAUAAAAGGUACCCCGGGGAUAACAGGCUAAUCUUGCCCAAGCGUCCAUAGCGACGGCAAGGUUUGGCACCUCGAUGUCGGCUCAUCGCAUCCUGGGGCUGAAGCAGGUCCCAAGGGUUGGGCUGUUCGCCCAUUAAAGCGGUACGCGAGCUGGGUUCAGAACGUCGUGAGACAGUUCGGUCCCUAUCCUCUGCAGCCGGAGGUGAAUUGAGGAAAGCUGUCCCUAGUACGAGAGGACCGGGACGGACGCAGCUCUCGUGUGCCAGUUGUCCUGCCAAGGGCAUGGCUGGUUAGCGACCUGCGGAAAGGAUAACCGCUGAAAGCAUCUAAGCGGGAAGCCUCUUCCAAGAUGAAUUCACCCACAGGGUUAACCUGGUAAGGCCCGUGGUAGACCACCACGUUGAUAGGCCGGAAGUGUAAGCGUGGCAACACGUUCAGCUGACCGGUACUAAUCGGCCGAGGGCUUGAGU
rnacentral:rRNA from 1 species